AUUGAACGCUGGCGGCAGGCCUAACACAUGCAAGUCGAGCGGAUGAAGGGAGCUUGCUCCUGGAUUCAGCGGCGGACGGGUGAGUAAUGCCUAGGAAUCUGCCUGGUAGUGGGGGAUAACGUCCGGAAACGGCGCCAAUACCCGCUUCGGCCUGGGGGGGGAAGGGGGGGGACCUCGGGCCCCACGCUAUCAGGUGAGCCUAGGUCGGGUUAGCUAGUUGGUGGGGUAAAGGCCUACCAAGGCGACGAUCCGUAACUGGUCUGAGAGGAUGAUCAGUCACACUGGAACUGAGACACGGUCCAGACUCCUACGGGAGGCAGCAGUGGGGAAUAUUGGACAAUGGGCGAAAGCCUGAUCCAGCCAUGCCGCGUGUGUGAAGAAGGUCUUCGGAUUGUAAAGCACUUUAAGUUGGGAGGAAGGGCAGUAAGUUAAUACCUUGCUGUUUUGACGUUACCAACAGAAUAAGCACCGGCUAACUUCGUG
rnacentral:rRNA from 1 species